rnacentral:rRNA from 1 species
UGGCUCAGGACGAACGCUGGCGGCGUGCCUAAUACAUGCAAGUCGAACGAACUGUGGAAAGCUUGCUUUCAGAGUUAGUGGCGAACGGGUGAGUAACACGUAAGUAACCUAGCUAUUAGACGAGGAUAACUACUGGAAACGGUAGCUAAGACUGGAUAUGAUAGAAAUAUUUAAAGGAUGCUAAGGCAUCGCUAAUAGAGGGGCUUGCGGCGCAUUAGCUAGUUGGUAGGGUAAAAGCCAACCAAGGCGAUGAUGCGUAGCCGACCUGAGAGGGUGACCGGCCACACUGGGACUGAGACACGGCCCAGACUCCUACGGGAGGCAGCAGUAGGGAAUCUUCGGCAAUGGACGAAAGUCUGACCGAGCAACGCCGCGUGAGUGAAGAAAGUUUUCGGAUUGUAAAGCUCUGUUAUUAGGGAAGAAAGGCUCUAGGAGGAAAUGCUUAGGGAUUGACGGUACCUAAUGAGGAAGCCACGGCUAACUACGUGCCAGCCGCUGC